UACAGAGGUCCCGAGCGUUGUUCGGAUUCACUGGGCGUAAAGGGUGCGUAGGUGGCGAGGUAAGUCGGAUGUGAAAGCUCGGAGCUCAACUCCGAAAUGGCAUUGGAAACUACCUUGCUCGAGGGUUGGAGGGGGGACUGGAAUUCUCGGUGUAGCAGUGAAAUGCGUAGAUAUCGAGAGGAACACCAGUGGCGAAGGCGAGUCCCUGGGCCGAAAUUGACGCUGAGGAGCGAAAGCGUGGGGAGCAAACAGG
rnacentral:rRNA from 1 species